rnacentral:rRNA from 1 species
CUCGCCCGGGGACUACGAGCAAAAGCUUAAAACCCAAAGGACUUGGCGGUGCUUUAGACCCACCUAGAGGAGCCUGUUCUAGAACCGAUAACCCCCGUUCAACCUCACCCUCUCUUGUUUUUCCCGCCUAUAUACCGCCGUCGUCAGCUUACCCUGCAAAGGCCCCACAGUAAGCAAAAUUGGCAUAGCCCAAAACGUCAGGUCGAGGUGUAGCGUAUGAGAGGGGAAGAAAUGGGCUACAUUAACUGACACAGUUCACACGAACGAUGUGUUGAAACAAACAUCUAAAGGAGGAUUUAGCAGUAAGAAGGAAAACAGAGCGUUCCCCUGAAAUUGGCCCUGAAGCGCGCACACACCGCCCGUCACUCUCCCCAAGCUUAAACACUAACCUUUAAAUAAAACAUAACAACUGUAAAGGGGAGGCAAGUCGUAACAUGGUAAGUGUACCGGAAGGUGCACUUGGAAAAAC